UCCACGCCGUAAACGAUGGGUGCUAAGUGUUGGGGGUAUCGACCCCCUCAGUGCUGUAGUUAACGCAAUAAGCACCCCGCCUGGGGAGUACGUUCGCAAGAAUGAAACUCAAAGGAAUUGACGGGGGCCCGCACAAGCGGUGGAGCAUGUGGUUUAAUUCGACGCAACGCGAAGAACCUUACCAGGGAUUGACAUCCCCUGACCGGAUAUGAAAGUAUCUUUUCACCUUCGGGUGACAGGGAGACAGGUGGUGCAUGGUUGUCGUCAGCUCGUGUCGUGAGAUGUUGGGUUAAGUCCCGCAACGAGCGCAACCCCUACAUUU
rnacentral:rRNA from 1 species